ensembl:Y_RNA Y_RNA Y RNA
GUCUGGUCUGAAGGGAGUGAGUUAUCUCGAUUGUUCACAGUCAGUUACAGAUCGGACUCCUUGUUCUACUCUUUCCCCCCUUCUCACUACUGCACUUGACUAGUCUUUU